AAGCAAAAGCUCGUAUAAUUCCCGUAAUAUGGUCGGGAAGUCUCUACCGGAUGACCUUAAAUCAUCCGACUACGGGUGAAACAUAUUU
rnacentral:ncRNA from 1 species